CAGCAGCCACGGUAAUACGGAGGAUCCAAGCGUUAUCCGGAAUCAUUGGGUUUAAAGGGUCCGUAGGCGGUCUUGUAAGUCAGUGGUGAAAGCCCAUCGCUCAACGGUGGAACGGCCAUUGAUACUGCAGGACUUGAAUUAUUGGGAAGUAACUAGAAUAUGUAGUGUAGCGGUGAAAUGCUUAGAGAUUACAUGGAAUACCAAUUGCGAAGGCAGGUUACUACCAAUUGAUUGACGCUGAUGGACGAAAGCGUGGGUAGCGAACAGGAUUAGAUACCCCGGUAGUCCCUGUCUCUUAUAA
rnacentral:rRNA from 1 species